CUUGGCAGGAACCAUGUCCCAGGUAUGGCUGGGGAGCUGGGGAGGGGCCAACAUGGGGGAGGAUGGAGCCUUCAGGGGCUCCUUCCAGGGGCAUCCCCCAUUCACUGGGGGGGGGUGCUUACUCACCGGCAGUGGGGGGGGGCGCUGAGCUGAGAGGGAGGGAGGGGUUGAAGAACAUGGACAUCCCUCAGUCCUGUCUAUCUCUGUCUCUCGCUUUAUCUGCAUUUCCUUUUUAGCUCACUCCCUCUUGUCUCUUCUAGGACAGAAAUUCCUUGUAGACAAGCUACCCCCAUCCCACCCCAAGUCCCUCCACUUCCAAAAGCAGGAAGGUCUCCAUGGCUAGGGAGAGCAGUCAGCUUGCUAGGGACCUGGGAAGAUCCCACAGAUCUCCUCACCUCCUGGGACCAAAAGUGAGCUGGUUGAUGUCCACAAGCCACAUAGUCAGCACAGGCAGGAGACCGUGGCAACUAUUGUGUUUCUCUUUCCAGCAAGUUUUCCCAUUCUCUUUCUCUUGGUAACAAACUCUGAUUCCCCCACAUGGUGGUGGACAUAUGGCCCAGCCUGGCCAAUCACAAUUCUUUAUCUCUGUAGCAACAGUGAUAGGGCCAAGGAAUAGCCAAUCAGAAUCCUUCCCUGAGAUUGAUGCUGGCAGCAAUCCCCCCUUUCACUGCAGAAGCAAGCUGGGGGCUUCCUCAUCUAUUUAAAAAAGAUAUCAGAGGCAAAGGGAAGGGAAAAGUCUCUAAUGACUCCUCCUUCUUAAACCUGCAGAGUAGGCAAAUGUGCCAUAUUAUUAGGAUGACUUUGACCUGUCAGAAGGCCCUGCCCUGUGUUACCUUUGGUUUCCAAAUUAAUGAACUCUUCUUCCAGACUCUUCACUAAGAGCUGUCCUCGUAUGUUCUUGUUCGGCCCUGAUAUUAGCCCCAGGAGGAGGAGACUUUCCUUCUCUCCAAUUUUUUAAAAAUAGACUUUAUUUUUUAGAGCAGUUUUAGGUUUAUAGCAAAACUGAGCAGAAAGUGUAGAAGGUUCCCAUAUACUGCCUGCCCCCUACCCCAGACACCCAGGCAAGCAUAGCCUUCCUCACUGUCUACAUCUCCCACCAGAGUGAUAUAUUUGUUAUCAUUCAUGAACCUCCACUGACACAUCAUUGUCACCCAAAUCCAAAGUUCACAUUAGGGUUCACUCUUGGUGAUGUACAUUCUGUGGGUUUGGACAAAUGUAUAACGCCGUGUAUCCACCAUUAUCGUGUUAUACGGAGUAGUCUCACGGCCCUAAAAAUCCUCUGUGCUCCUUCUACUCAUCCUUCUCUCCCCAAUACCCCUUUGCACCUACUGAAGGACAUCUUGGUUGUUUUGGCAGUUAUGAAUAAAGCUGCUCUAAAUACCCACGUGCAGAUUUAGUAUAGACAUAAGUUUUCAAUUCCUUUGUGUAAAUACCAAGGAGCUUGCUUGCGGGAUCAUAUGGUAAAAGUAUGUUUAUUUUUGCAAGAAGCCACCAAGCUGUCUCACAAAGCGACUGUAUCAUUUUGCAUUCCUACCUGCAAUGAGUGGAACUUCCUGUUGCUCCAUAUCCUUGCCAGCAUUCGGCAUUGUCAGUGUUUUAGAUUUUGGUCAUUCUGCUCUGUGUGCGGUGUUACCUCAUUGUUGUUUCAAUUUACACUUUCAUAAUGGCAUGCGAUUUUGAGCAUCUUUUUUCACAUGCAUAUUUGCCAUCUGUAUAUCCUCUUGCUCAGGUAUCUGUUCACGUCUUUCGCCCAAUUUUUAACGGGCUUGUUCAUUUCAUUGCUGCAUUUUUAUCGGAUGUGUCUUUUACAAAUGUUGUUUCCCACUCUGUGGCUUCUCAUUCUCUUGACUGUGCCUUUCACGGAGCAGAAGUUUUUAAUCAAAUUAUUUCUCUCAUUUAUUUCUUGGGUGACACUGGCUGUGAGCAACUUCUUUUACGUGGAAGCAGACAGAACACAGAGUAAGAAAGGUAGUUCCCUCCCAGUCUCCUGUCAUCCUCCCUCUACCUCAAGGAGAGUCUCAGGUGGGUGCUACCCCAUACCGAACCCCUCUUUGACCCUCACUAAUCUCCCUUAACCCACAGAGGAGCGAGCGGUUCUCAAGCUCAGGGCCCCUGCAAACAACCGUGUUUGGCUUGAAUUUAACAAAGGAGCUUUAUGUCCCAUCUAGCUGUUUCCCAGUAAACGUUCAUAUAAGAGCAAAUCAUGACAGCGGUAGAAAUUUCUUUUAAAUAUAUCUAAGUUGAAGAUGUGAUUUCGUGAAAUCACAUUUAAUGAAAGGUAUUCCAUAAAUGAAAAUGGCAAACAUCAUGGAGGUGAUGCAUAAACACCCACAUACCAGCAUUUGGGAAGCACUCCCUUAAGAAACAUGUUUGUAGGAUUGCAGUGAGGUUGGGCUUGCGUCUGCUGUGUUUGUCCCCCCUCUUUGAUACUUGCUCCCCUCUUCUUUCUUGUCCCCUGGCCUUUUCCUCUAGGAAACAGGACCGGGUGGGGUGGCACCCAACCUUUGCCCCACCCACCCUGCCCGGGCUCUGGAAUGUCUGAGAACCUCUUCCAGGUCAGCGUCCCUGUGGGUCCCCAGUCCACUGGGGGGCGUCCCCACACUGGCCAGAUCUGCCCACACUUGCGCUGUUUGGAUGCGCUGACCUCACACCUUCCACCCUGAGUCCUCAGGGCCCAGGACCAGCACCAAGUUUCGCUUUCUGUCUGCCAGGGCUUCCCACAUCACGUCCUGUUCUCUGCGCCCCAUCUCCCCUACUCCCGACCUCCCAGCAGCCCUGUGACACGAGUACCAACCCCAAGAGGUGGUGAGGCUGGUGAGACCACCUGCAGGACAAGCCGCUGAUCCAGGAUGAUGCAUGCCCUAUGAUGCCGGUGCUUUUAUGAUUCCUGUUGUGCACAUGGGGACACUGAGGCACAGAGCCAUGAAGAAGGCCCGUGGAAGUUCACACAGCAGAUGAGGACCUGGAGGUCCGAGGGGAAAAGACUGGCCCUCAGACCCCCAGCUGCUGGUGGCAGAGGUCUACCUGGAUGACAGAUCCAUCACCAACCUUCCUCAUCCCCAACCAUCUCUUCUCUGGAGCCAGAAAACAGCCAGAAAGACCCUGCUGUUCCAAGGCGCUGUGUUCACUGCCAUAAAUAAGGCCUCGGCCAGCCAGGCUCCUCCUCCUCCCUGGGCCACAUCUCACAGCAGGCCAGGUCUAGGGCGGCCGUGGAGGGAAGGGAGGCUCUCCGACAGUGUGAGUUAUGGGCUCUGGGAAGCCCAUUAGUCACCCAAGCGAGAGAAGUUAACUCCAGCUUAUUAACUCUAAACGUUUAUUAUUCACAUUGAUCACUUCGCAGACAGCACCCACCACCCCACCCCCUUGGAGCCAGCCAGUGCAUUCAGAUCGCAGGAUGGCGAGUGGGCUGAAGGCACUCGCACAUCGAGAAUCCCCAGGGAAUGCAGGUAGGGCACAGAUGGCCCCAGCUGCCCCUUCCAAGAGGGCAAGGAGGGUCUCUCAUUCGUGGCCCUGUCACUCAUCCACUUCCCACUUAUCUGUCAGCCUCUGUUCUGGGCCAACACUUGAACCAAGAGCAGGGGACCCCCAGGUGCACAGACACCGUCUCCAUCGUCCAGGGGGUGGCCACGAGGUGAGGGACGUGGGGCAGAUCGGUGGGGAGGAGCAUAGCUUCAGGGUCUGCCUGGUUUGAUUUCAGGUUCUGCCACUCAGCGGGUGCCCUUGUGUAUAAACCCUGUGACUCUCAGAGACUCCAUUUUGUCAUCUAUAAAAUGGGGACACAUUCAUUCAUUUGACAAAUAUAUACUGAGCACCUACAAUAAAGAACAGAAAAGCUCCCUGCCCUCACGGAAUUCUGGAAAUAGAGACAGACAUAAGGCAACUGAAAAAAAUAGUGUAAUUUCAGAUGGCGGUGAGUGCAAUGAAGAAAAUAACCCUGAGUCGCGUGGAAGAGAGGGACUAGGGGCAUUGGGGGGUAUUACUGGGGGUGCUCAGGGAUGGCCUCUCCAAGGAUGUGGCCUUUGAACUGAGACCUGAAUUAUGGGGAGGGGCCACCAGGAGGAGACCUGGGCCAAGGGGAGUCCAGGCAGAGGGAGCAAAUAGCAAGGACAAAGGAAGAUCGUGAUUCCCGGCAAUGCUUGGCUGCAGGGCAACCAGAGAGGAGCCAGGGCGGCUGAGUUAAGUGAGAUGAGGGAAGAGAGAAACGGGGGGUCAGCCAUCUUUUUAAGAACUUCAGCUUUUGUUCUUGGUGCAAUGGGGAGCUGCUGGGUGGUUUUAGGUUGAAACGGUCACUAGGAACAUAACCAUACUUGACCUCCCUCCAUAGUUAUUAUGAACUGUAGUGGACACUGGGGUCCCCGCUCUGCUCUGCAUUACGGGACAGGGCUUCCUGUCCCCCAGGUGCAGUGAAGUUGGCUGCUAACGGCCAACAGCUGUCCCCUUCUCCUGAGCAUUGCCCUUGGCUACCAUUCUUCUCCAGUGUGGGCCCCCUGGCCUCUAACGGGGGCCAAAUCUGUGGUGUGCUUUGCAAGCCAGGGCUCUCUGGUGUCGUGGUGGGGCCGGGUGAAGGCCAGUCUCCAGCAGGGACCAUAGUUUCUGGCCUUGCCUGGUGCUUUGCUCCUGUGCUCCCUGCAUCCCUCACUUCCUGCUGAGAGUGUGUCUUUGAUAUAAUCCACGUGCACCUGGACCCCUGACUCAGGCUCUGCUGCGAGGGGUCCCCAACUUGAGACGAGGAUUAGAUCAGACAGUGACCAUAAAGGCUGAACCCCAUGCCUGCCACACACAGCAGUGACUUAAGGCUGCCAACUUGUCCUGAUUUGCCCAAGACAUUCGUGGCUAUAGCACUGAAGGUCCUGCAUCCCAGGAAACCCCUCAGUCCUGGGCAAAGCAGGACAGUUGGUCAUUGGAGGUAACUGCUGACAGGCUUCAUUCAUUCAUUCAUUCAUUCAUUCAUCAAAUACCUCCCGGGGUCUCUCAGUGCCAGGCUCUGUCAGUGGAGCCAUGACAGGGUCCCAUCCUCACAGAGUUCACAGGAGGCAGGCAGUAUCAUCAGAUGUUUGCUUGGGCCUGCAAGAAGUCAGGAGAGCCGUCCUGGGUGGUGAGGUGGAGGCUGUCCCUGAGGGCAAAGUUGCUGUCCAGUGAAUGGGGGCGGGGGCUGGGGAGGUUGGGCAGAGCUCCCACCCUGGUGAGCCGAUCAGGAAAGAAGCCCUGACCUUCAGAUCUACAAAUGCAGAGAGAGGCCAUGAGCAGCAGGUUCUUGGGUCCCAUCACCCCUGCCCUCAACUGCUCCAGGCCUCAGUUUCCCCCUGUGAGAAGUUCCCUCCAGCCUCAGCAGGAAGCUGAGAAUGUGUGCAAAGCAAUGACUCCUUUGGGAGGAGUGCUCUGAGGACACCGAGGCCCCUGGGCCACCAGUUCAGAUGGUUACGCCAGGACAGGGAGCCAGCAGGCACUGUACUGGUCUCUGAAGCCCCACAACAACCCUGUCAAACAGGCCUGUUCUUUCCAUUUUACAGACGAGGAAACUGAGGCUUAAAGUGGAGCACUGACUUGCACAGAGUCCCGCAGCCAGCGAGUAGUGGAGCCGGGGCAGGGUCCAGGGGCUCUCAGGCUCCACGGCCGCUGAGCCACUUGGGUAAUUCAAGAAGAUAAGGAAGGCAUCAUCACCUCCAUCUGAUUCAUUGCUUUACACACUCCCCUCUUCUCCACGCUUACAGGGGAGAGCGAAUGAGAGCGCAGGUCCUGGUGCCGCCCUGCCUGGGUCCGGGCCCCAGCUCCACCAACGCAGAAGCUGGGGGACCAAAGGUAAGUGACUUACCCCUUCUGUGCCCUGAGUUCCUCAUCUCUCAAAGAGGAGAGAUCUCAACAGCACCUCCUCCAGGGGUUGUUAUGAAGAUCAAAAGAGCUAAUAUAUGGAAAGCACUCACAGCAGAGCCUAGCAUAUCGUCUCAGCUAUUAUUGCUUGUUUUAUUACUAUGACUCAGUACAAUGCAAGUCAUAAUAAUAAAACAUUGGAAACAACCCGAAUGUUCAGCAGUAGGGGAGUUAUUAAACCACCAUGAUUUAUCGAUUUCAGUGGACACAACAGUAAUUAAGACAGGUGGUCU